GGGCCCGCACAAGCGGUGGAGCAUGUGGUUUAAUUCGAUGAUACGCGAGGAACCUUACCAGGGUUUAAAUGCAGAACGACAGGGGUGGAAACACCCCCUUCUUCGGACGGACUGCAAGGUGCUGCAUGGUUGUCGUCAGCUCGUGCUGUGAAGUGUCGGGUUAAGUCCCAUAACGAGCGCAACCCCCAUUUCUAGUUGCCAGCGGUUCGGCCGGGGACUCUAGAGAAACUGCCAGCGUAAGCUGUGAGGAAGGUGGGGAUGACGUCAAAUCAUCACGGCCCUUACAUCCUGGGCCACACACGUGCUACAAUGGUAGGGACAACAGGUUGCCAACCCGCGAGGGUGAGCCAAUCCCAAAACCCUAUCUCAGUUCGGAUCGAAGUCUGCAACUCGACUUCGUGAAGUUGGAAUCGCUAGUAAUCG
rnacentral:rRNA from 1 species